UAUGUUUUCUGGUCUGUGCGUCCGUUCGUCCGUCUGUUCGUUCGUUCGUUCGUCCGUUCGUCCGUCUGUCCCGCUUCAGGUUAAAGUUUUUGGUCGAGGUAGUUUUUGAUGAAGUUGAAGUCCAAUCAACUUGAAACUUAGUACACAUGUUCCUUAUGAUAUGAUCUUUCUAAUUUAAAUGCCAAAUUAGAGUUUUGACCCCAAUUUUACGGUUCACUGAUAGAAAAUGAUAGUGCAAAUUUCAGGUUAAAGUUUUUGGCUUCAGGUUAAAGUUUUUGGUCAAGUAGUUUUUGAUGAAGUUGAAGUCCAAUCAACUUGAAACUUAGUAUACAUGUGCCCUAUGAUAUGAUCUUUCUAAUUUAAAUGCCAAAUUAGAGUUUUGACCCCAAUUUUACGGUUCACUGAACAUAGAAAAUGAUAGUGCAAAUUUCAGGUUAAAGUUUUUGGUCAAGGUAGUUUUUGAUGAAGUUGAAGUCCAAUCAACUUGAAACUUAGUAUACAUGUGCCCUAUGAUAUGAUCUUUCUAAUUUAAAAUGCCAAAUUAGAGUUUUGACCCCAAUUUUUACGGUUCACUGAACAUAGAAAAUGAUAGGGCAAAUUUCAGGUUAAAGUUUUUGGUCAAGGUAGUUUUUGAUGAAGUUGAAGUCCAAUCAACUUGAAACUUAGUAUACAUGUGCCCUAUGAUAUGAUCUUUCUAAUUUAAAUGCCAAAUUAGAGUUUUGACCCCAAUUUUACGGUUCACUGAACAUAGAAAAUGAUAGUGCAAAUUUCAGGUUAAAGUUUUUGGCUUCAGGUUAAAGUUUUUGGUCAAGGUAGUUUUUGAUGAAGUUGAAGUCCAAUCAACUUGAAACUUAGUAUACAUGUACCCUAUGAUAUGAUCUUUCUAAUUUAAAUGCCAAAUUAGAGUUUUGACCCCAAUUUUACGGUUCACUGAACAUAGGAAAUGAUAGUGCAAAUUUCAGGUUAAAGUUUUUGGCUUCAGGUUAAAGUUUUUGGUCAAGGUAGUUUUUGAUGAAGUUGAAGUCCAAUCAACUUGAAACUUAGUAUACAUGUGCCCUAUGAUAUGGUCUUUAUAAUUUAAAUGCCAAAUUAGAGUUUUGACCCCAAUUUUACGGUUCACUGAACAUAGAAAAUGAUAGUGCAAAUUUCAGGUUAAAGUUUUUGGUCCAGGUAGUUUUUGAUAAAGUAGAAGUCCAAUCAACUUGAAACUUAGUAUACAUGUUCCCUUUGAUAAGAUCAUUCUAAUUUUAAUGCCAAAUUAGAGAAUUUAUUCCAAUUUCACAGUCCUUUAAACAUAGAAAAUGAUAGUGUGAGUGGGGCAUCCGUGUACUGUGGACACAUUCUUGUUUUAAAA
rnacentral:lncRNA from 1 species